rnacentral:siRNA from 1 species
CUAUGGAUCCUUUAUUAUUUUGAG